UUAGCAUGGAAUAAUGAAAUAGGACGUGUGGUUCUAUUUGUUGGUUUCUAGGACCGCCGUAAUGAUUAAUAGGGAUAGUCGGGGGCAUCAGUAUUCAAUUGUCAGAGGUGAAAUUCUUGGAUUUAUUGAAGACUAACUACUGCGAAAGCAUUUGCCAAGGAUGUUUUCAUUAAUCAGUGAGCGAAAGUUAGGGGAUCGAAGACGAUCAGAUACCGUCGUAGUCUUAACCAUAAACUAUGCCGACUAGGGAUCGGGCGAUGUUAUCUUUUUGACUCGCUCGGCACUUUACGAGAAAUCAAAGUUUUUGGGUUCUGGGGGGAGUAUGGUCUCAAGGCUGAAACUUAAAGAAAUUGACGGAGGGGCACCACCAGGAGUGGAGCCUGCGGCUUAAUUUGACUCAACACGGGGAAACUCACCAGGUCCAGACACAAUAAGGAUUGACAGAUUGAGAGCUCUUUCUUGAUUUUGUGGGUGGUGGUGCAUGGCCGUUCUUAGUUGGUGGAGUGAUUUGUCUGCUUAAUUGCGAUAACGAACGAGACCUUAACCUGCUAAAUAGCCCGGCUAGCUUUGGCUGGUCGCUGGCUUCUUAGAGGGACUAUCGGCUCAAGCCGAUGGAAGUUUGAGGCGAUAACAGGUCUGUGAUGCCCUUAGAUGUUCUGGGCCGCACGCGCGCUACACUGACAGAGCCAACGAGUUCAUCACCUUGGCCGAAAGGCCUG
rnacentral:rRNA from 1 species